rnacentral:rRNA from 1 species
GGCUGACCUGCCCUCCAGAGGGGGAUAACGGUUGGAAACGGCCGCUAAUACCCCAUACGCUCCCUGGGGUUAGAGGACCGGGGAGGAAAGCGAUAGUGCUGGAGGAGGGGGCUGUGGCCCAUCAGCUAGUUGGUAGGGUAAAGGCCUACCAAGGCGACGACGGGUAGGGGGCCUGAGAGGGUGACCCCCCACACUGGGACUGAGACACGGCCCAGACUCCUACGGGAGGCAGCAGUAAGGGAUCUUGCGACAAUGGGCGAAAGCCUGACGCAGCAACGCCGCGUGCGGGAUGACGGCCUUCGGGUUGUAAACCGCUUUUCGAGGGGAAGAGGGAGGACGGUACCCUCGGAAUAAGUCUCGGCUAACUACGUGCCAGCAGCCGCGGUAAAACGUAGGAGGCGAGCGUUAUCCGGAUUUACUGGGUGUAAAGCGCGUGCAGGCGGUCGUGUAAGUGGUGCGUGAAAGCUCCCGGCUCAACCGGGAGAGGACGUGCCAAACUGCAGGGCUAGAGGCAGGUAGAGGCGUGUGGAAUUCCGGGUGUAGUGGUGAAAUGCGUAGAGAUCCGGAGGAACACCAGUGGCGAAGGCGACACGCUGGGCCUGGCCUGACGCUCAGACGCGAAAGCAUGGGGAGCGAACGGGAUUAGAAACCCCGGUAGUCCAUGCUGUA